rnacentral:rRNA from 1 species
GAUUACGGCCAGACCGGACUGUUUGCACCUGAUCCCGUCCGAUCUCAGAAGCUAAACAGUCCUGGGCCCAACUAGUAUCUGGAUGGGAGACCGCCUGGGAAUCCUGGGUGUUGUAGGCC